rnacentral:rRNA from 1 species
UUUAAUGGCCGCAGUAAUUUAACUGUGCGAAGGUAGCAUAAUCAAUAGUUUUUUAAUUGAAAGCUUGUAUGAAAGGUUGGACGAGAUAAUAUCUGUCUUUAUUAUAAUUAUUAUAGAAUUUAAUUUUUAAGUUAAAAAGCUUAAAUUUUUUUAAAAGACGAGAAGACCCUAUAGAGUUUUAUAAUUUAAAAUUUAUAAUUAUUUUAGAUUAUUUAAUUUUAUAAAUUUAUAUUUAUUUUAUUGGGGUAAUAGAAAGAUUAAUAUAAUUCUUUUUUAUUUAUUUAUUUAUUUAUAUAUUUAUGAUCCUUUUUUAGAGAUUAUAAGAUUAAAUUACCUUAGGGAUAACAGCGUAAUUUUUUUUGAAAGUUCUUAUUGAUAAAAAAGAUUGCGACCUCGAUGUUGGAUUAAAGAUUAGUUUAGGUGCAAAAGUUUAAAUUUUUGGUCUGUUCGACCAUUAAAUCUUUACAUGAUCUGAGUUCAGACCGGUGUGAGCCAGGUCGGUUUUUAUCUUUAUUUAUAUAUAAUAUUUUAGUACGAAAGGACCAAAUAUUAAUUAUAUUAAUUAUUAUUUUGAAUAUUAUU